GCGGCUCAGGCCAGUGUGCUCGACUUGCCGCUGCGUGUUGUUGGCUUCGCGCCACAAGACUCACCAUGUCCUGACCAGUGCAACACAUAUAAGAUCACCCUCAUAACCCAAGAGAAGUAGGGAAGUAUGUAACUAACAAAAAAACAGAUGUAGCAAGUGCAAGGUAGGCUUAGUGGUGCUUAGAGCUUACUUCAACUUUAUCCCAAAGGAUGUACACCGGUCAUCUUCCUCGCUGGUCCCCGACAUUGCCGCAUGCCACCCUUCGAGAAGACAGUAGAGGGAUGAUUCUUCAACUGAAGAUGAAGAAAUGAAGGAAGAGCAAAAAUUUACCUGAGCAUUGGACCGGCGCCAUUCAUGGAUGGAGCUUGGAGGAACCCUCUUCUCCACUUCUCUCGAUCCACUGCCGCUAUUACUGCCUCGCACCAUGCAUCCGAGCCUAGAUAAGAAAGAAUGGCCCUCAACACCUGAACAACACACGGGGCGCAAAAUUGGGCAUACAGAAAAAGGUGCAUCAAUCAAAUAUCUGUAGAGAUGCAUAGCAGGAAAUGCACAUACAACUUCACGGUUUUUUAUGGAUGAAAAUACCAACAUCUAGACCUAAACAUCACCCAAAGAUUAUACAUUUCAAAAUAUAGAGCAGAGAGGCUAUCAAGAGUUGUAUUCUAAAUCUCUUGACAUCACAACUCGUGCAAGAAAAAUGGACAAAAUAAGACACUGCAAGCAAAUGUGCACCAAAUUAUGAGCAAAGAAACUGACAAUUAGAGCAGAUUACUCCGCUUGCCCUUCUCACCGGCCUUCUCCUUCCCC
rnacentral:lncRNA from 1 species